CGCCUCGCGCGGUGCGUCGCGUGCGCGUCCGCCAAUCAGAGUUCAGAGUGUAGUCACAUGGCAUUUUGGUUUUUCAAUCUUGCCACCAGAAGGCCCUGCUCUCUGCGCAUCUCGGCGGAACCUCUUUGGCGGAACUUUUUUUUUACUCGGCAGAACUGGCGCG
rnacentral:lncRNA from 1 species